CCUGGAGAGGCAGCUGGGUGAGGACAUGUCCUCAUUAGCCUUCUAAUGUCCAAACUGCUCCAGUUUACUGGACCUGAGCUCCCACUGCGGGGAAAGAAAGGGAUUAUUUGCUGGCCCUGUUUCAGAGACGGUCCUGUGAAGGUCUGAUCUCCAGCCUCACAGGAGCUGAGCACCAAUCCCAACCACACAGCACACUGCAGGCAUCUCUCAGCCUUGAGUUUUUGCUUUUUUAAUUUCCUGUGGCCACAGAGCACCACUGGAGGGUCUCCCAGGGACGGCAUUUCUCAUACGCUGUGGACAAGAUCAGGAUUCUCGACAGCCCCAGGACAGCUCUGUGCCAUAGCCAGACAGUGCAGUUCUCUGAGCUGAAUCAGUUGAUGGGGAUUUUUUUUCCUCAGAGUAUGUAAAUAA